AGCGAGCAGCAACGAGAACAUCUCUUUCAUACUCGCUGCCAUGUACAAGGUAAGCUUUGUAGAGUUAUUAUUGAUGGUGAAAGUUGCUCGAACAUAGCCAGCACAACGAUGGUGGAAAAGCUUUGCUUAACCACUACUAAGCAUCCACGACCUUAUCAACUACAAGGGCUUAGCAACGAAAGCCAAUUUAAGGUCACUCAACAAGUGCGCAUCGCCUUUUCUAUCGGUAAGUAUCAAGACGAAGUCGUGUGCGACGUAGUACCUAUUCAAGCCUGCCAUUUGUUGCUAGGAGAACCAUGGCAACUGGAUCGAAAAGUCACUCACAAUGGUCGUACCAAUAGGUAUUCUUUCAAGCAUCAAGGAAAGAAACUCACCUUAGUGCCGCUCACUCCGGAACAAGUCCAUGAGGACCAAAUCAAAC
rnacentral:lncRNA from 1 species